GACGAACGCUGGCGGCGUGCUUAACACAUGCAAGUCGAACGGUGAAGGUGGGAGCUUGCUUCUGCUGGAUCAGUGGCGAACGGGUGAGUAACACGUGAGUAACCUGCCCUUGACUCUGGGAUAAGCGUUGGAAACGACGUCUAAUACCGGAUACGAGCUUCAGCCGCAUGGCUAGGAGUUGGAAAGAUUUUUCGGUCAAGGAUGGACUCGCGGCCUAUCAGCUUGUUGGUGAGGUAAUGGCUCACCAAGGCUAUGACGGCUACCGGCUCUUAGCGGAGAGUCCGGCACAAUGGGACUGAGACACGGCCCAUACUUCUACGGAAGGCAGCAGUUAGGAAUUUUGCGCAAUGGACGAAAGUCUGACGCAGCGACAUCGCGUGUGGGAUGACGGCCCUCGGGUUGUAAACCACUUUUUGGGAGCCAUGAAGGCGCCCAGAAUAAGGAACUACUAACUACGUGCCAGCCGCCGCGGUAAUAC
rnacentral:rRNA from 1 species